AUUUAUGUAGUUUAUAAAAACAUUUCAUUUUCAAUGAAAAGAUAAGAUUUUCUUCUUAAAUA
rnacentral:tRNA from 1 species